CGCCCCCGGGAGCCCCCCAACACUGCAUCUGUGCGUCGGAGUCAUAAGUAAAUUGAACAAAACUUUCAACAACGGAUCUCUUGGUUCUGGCAUCGAUGAAGAACGCAGCGAAAUGCGAUAAGUAAUGUGAAUUGCAGAAUUCAGUGAAUCAUCGAAUCUUUGAACGCACAUUGCGCCCUUUGGUAUUCCGAAGGGCAUGCCUGUUCGAGCGUCAUUUCACCACUCAAGCCUCGCUUGGUAUUGGGCGCCGCGGUCCCCGCGCGCCUCAAAGUCUCCCGGCUGAGCCGUCCGUCUCCGAGCGUUGUGAUCCAUGAUCGCUCCGGGGUGCGGGCGGCCGCGGCCGUUAAAUCUUCACCAGGUGA
rnacentral:rRNA from 1 species